rnacentral:ncRNA from 2 species
AUAAAUUAAGGUGCCUAAGGCUUGCUCAGUACAAUGUUAUUGUAUUAAUAGUGCUUAGGGUAAACGGGAAGUUAGGUGAUAAAACCCUACGCUGCCCCCGCAACGGUGAUUUAAAUGCAUUGCAUUUAACAGCCCGAUACCGGCCUCAAUUUCGUUUUUUAU